rnacentral:rRNA from 1 species
UACGAAGGGGGCUAGCGUUGCUCGGAAUUACUGGGCGUAAAGGGCGCGUAGGCGGAUAGUUUAGUCAGAGGUGAAAGCCCAGGGCUCAACCUUGGAAUUGCCUUUGAUACUGGCUAUCUUGAGUUCGGGAGAGGUGAGUGGAAUGCCGAGUGUAGAGGUGAAAUUCGUAGAUAUUCGGCGGAACACCAGUGGCGAAGGCGACUCACUGGCCCGAUACUGACGCUGAGGCGCGAAAGCGUGGGGAGCAAACAGGAUUAGAAACCCUGGA